AAAAGAAUUUGACUUUUCAGUUGAGUGGUUAUGCCAAAUUUCUUAAACCAUUGAAUGACUUUUGAAGCCAAAUUUAAUAUAUUCCUUGUAGUUGAGGUUUAUUUGAUGUGUACAACAUAAAAUAUAUUAUUUAUUUGGACUUGAGAGCAUUUAACCAUGGAUUUAGAGAUGGAAAGUUUGAAACUUUCUUCCUGCCUCGAGUAUAAUUUAAUUGUCUUCAUUGUAGGCAUUACUUAUUUUUGCUCGAUGUCUUCCAUUUAAAUUUAAUACUCUGGACUCCAAAAUUGAUAAAGUGCUUUUUGCGUGAUGUCUUUUAGGUAGAUAAAGAUGCUGUGGCUAGUUGGGUUUUAUCCUUUCAAGCUCACCCUGGGGAUAAAAAUCAAUUGAACAAUGGACAAUUCUAUGGGUUCCAAGGUUCUCGAUCUUCCCAAUUCCCCUUGGGCUGUGAUGG
rnacentral:misc_RNA from 1 species